AUGUCGCGCGUGCAGCAGGUGGCGACGCGGUCGGGGCGCGCGCAGGAGUCGAUGCGCGUGGUGGCGGUGAGCAAGACGAAGCCCGUGGGCGUCAUCUGCGGCGUGUACGACGCUGACCACCGCUGCUUCGGCGAGAACUACGUACAGGAGCUCAUCGGCAAGGCCCCCCAGCAUUUUCCCUUGAUUAUGUUCAGAAGAUGCCAGACGGCGGUAGUGGUUUGCCAAAUUACAGUUCCUGGCAAGUACAUAGGUCUGGAUUUGGUGACUUCGGCUCACAUGUCAACAGACCUUCCCUUCUUCCCGUCGCCGCCGUCCCCAACCCACCCACGCACGGUUGCUCGACGCCACCUUGGCGGUGUUCUUCGACACUUGGGGGCAAUGGAGUAG
rnacentral:rRNA from 1 species